rnacentral:tRNA from 1 species
GGUGGUAGCUCAGUGGUAGAGCGCUUGCCUGGCACAUGUGCGACUCUGGGUUCGAUCCCCAGCACCA